GAGGAACACCAGUGGCGAAGGCGACUCUCUGGUCUGUAACUGACGCUUAAGAGCGAAAGCGUGGGGAGCGAACAGGAUUAGAUACCCUGGUAGUCCACGCCGUAAACGAUGAGUGCUAAGUGUUAGGGGGUUUCCGCCCCUUAGUGCUGCAGCUAACGCAUUAAGCACUCCGCCUGGGGAGUACGGUCGCAAGACUGAAACUCAAAGGAAUUGACGGGGGCCCGCACAAGCGGUGGAGCAUGUGGUUUAAUUCGAAGCAACGCGAAGAACCUUACCAGGUCUUGACAUCCUCUGACAAUCCUAGAGAUAGGACGUCCCCUUCGGGGGCAGAGUGACAGGUGGUGCAUGGUUGUCGUCAGCUCGUGUCGUGAGAUGUUGGGUUAAGUCCCGCAACGAGCGCAACCCUUGAUCUUAGUUGCCAGCAUUCAGUUGGGCACUCUAAGGUGACUGCCGGUGACAAACCGGAGGAAGGUGGGGAUGACGUCAAAUCAUCAUGCCCCUUAUGACCUGGGCUACACACGUGCUACAAUGGACAGAACAAAGGGCAGCGAAACCGCGAGGUUAAGCCAAUCCCACAAAUCUGUUCUCAGUUCGGAUCGCAGUCUGCAACUCGACUGCGUGAAGCUGGAAUCGCUAGUAAU
rnacentral:rRNA from 1 species